rnacentral:rRNA from 1 species
GACGAACGCUGGCGGCGUGCUUAACACAUGCAAGUCGAACGGAAAGGCCCUGCUUUUGUGGGGUGCUCGAGUGGCGAACGGGUGAGUAACACGUGAGUAACCUGCUCUUGACUUUGGGAUAACUUCAGGAAACUGGGGCUAAUACCGGAUAGCAGCUCCUGCUGCAUGGAGGGGGUUGGAAAGUUUCGGCGGUUGGGGAUGGACUGGCGGCUUAUCAGUUUGUUGGUGGGGUAGUGGCUUACCAAGGCUUUGACUGGUAGCCGGCAUGGGAGGGUGACCGGGCACAUUGGUACUACGAUACGGAGCAGACGCGUACGUGGGGCAGCAGUGGGGAAUAUUGCACAAUGGGCGGAAGCCUGAGGCGGCAACGCCGCGUGCGGGAUGACGGCCUUCGGGGAGUAAAACGCUUUAGCCUGUGACGAAGCGUGAGUGACGGUAAUGAAUAAAGAAGCACCGGCUAACUACGUG